GACAUCAGGAGGUUAGUGCAAUGGCAUAAGCCAGCUUGACUGCGAGCGUGACGGCGCGAGCAGGUGCGAAAGCAGGUCAUAGUGAUCCGGUGGUUCUGAAUGGAAGGGCCAUCGCUCAACGGAUAAAAGGUACUCCGGGGAUAACAGGCUGAUACCGCCCAAGAGUUCAUAUCGACGGCGGUGUUUGGCACCUCGAUGUCGGCUCAUCACAUCCUGGGGCUGAAGUAGGUCCCAAGGGUAUGGCUGUUCGCCAUUUAAAGUGGUACGCGAGCUGGGUUUAGAACGUCGUGAGACAGUUCGGUCCCUAUCUGCCGUGGGCGCUGGAGAACUGAGGGGGGCUGCUCCUAGUACGAGAGGACCGGAGUGGACGCAUCACUGGUGUUCGGGUUGUCAUGCCAAUGGCACUGCCCGGUAGCUAAAUGCGGAAGAGAUAAGUGCUGAAAGCAUCUAAGCACGAAACUUGCCCCGAGAUGAGUUCUCCCUGAGACUUAGAGUCUCCUGAAGGAACGUUGAAGACGACGACGUUGAUAGGCCGGGUGUGUAAGCGCAGCGAUGCGUUGAGCUAACCGGUACUAAUGAACCGUGAGGCUUAA
rnacentral:rRNA from 1 species